UGCAGAAGAGUGACCCAGCCAGCAGAGAAGAGAGGAUAACUACAGCUUGUAGUAUCAAGACAUCGGGGUUGUCCUUUGACAGGUUCUCGUCUCUAAACCAAUGUGCGAGCACUGGUUCUUAUAGCCUGAGGAUCUGUACCUACCUAAUUAGUUUUACCAAGGAAUUACGAUACUAGAAAACUUCUCUCUACGUCGAAUCUUUACGAAUUGUACCAAGAACACAAGGAUUUAACUCCCUGACAGCAGAAGAAGUGCUUGAGACUCAGAACUUGAUAUAAACAAGGUGACUCCUUGUUGCCUGCAUCAGUAAUCUUGAACAAGAGUCAACUAUAAACUUAGGACAAUGUCACAUCAAAGCUGGGAUACGAGGAAU